rnacentral:tRNA from 1 species
GGGCCCGUAGCUCAGCUUGGAUAGAGCGGCAAGAAUAAACCCGCAAGCCUUCUAAGCUGAAGGUCGUGGGUUCAAAUCCCACCGGGCCCG